rnacentral:lncRNA from 1 species
UAGAUUCCAAAGCAUACCAACACCAUGCUUAUUGAUUUAUCUUUAUAAAUAAAAAAAACUAAAAGAAACACCCAACUAGAUUAAAGUAUUCAUCAAAGAAAGACAAAGUAAAGUAAUAAAUUAGUCAUGGAUCAACCUUAAGUAAAGAGGCUAAAAUAAAAUAAUAAUAAUAAAGCAUAAGAUAGAUUGGAUCCCGAAGAGUAGCGACAAGAAACAUACCUUUUUAAAAAGAAACAAAAGUCUGGAAAUAAGACCAGCAACACGUUAACCAUACUAAACGGGAACCUCACCGGAACUUUAGAUGGAUCUCUCACAUGGAAGUUCGUCUAUCUCGAUCUAUCUUCCAUGACAUUACAGGGCUGAAACGGAGCUUCGUCGGAGGAAAAAAAAUGGAGAAAUUGAUGACUGUUCGGGUCUUUUUUUUAAAGCUGGUUUUAAUGGAAUUUCAAAUUGGUUUAAGGUGAUAUAUGUGAAGUGAUAUGGGUUGAAGACUCUUUCGUUUCUUUUUAUUUUCCCACCCCCAAUUUUUGUGCAAAGAAUCCCUUGUAUGUUCUGUGCGUGUAUUUGGAGUUGGUGAAAUUAGACCGUGAAGGUCUUUGAUUUGGGGGAAGUUGGGAGACGGCAGUCUUCGAGAUUAGGAGUGUUGCCGUUCUUUUUUUAGUCUUAGGUUUUGAAAACUUGGGUAUUUUAUAUGUAGAUGGGAAGGGAUGAUGACCAUUGGAUUAGAAGGAAAUAGAUGGCUAGGAUUAAAUCUUGCAUAUAAAUGGGCUAAUGAGUUGGGAAGAAUGGGCUAAGGGUAAUUGGGUUAGACCCUAUCUUUUGGUUGAACUUAGGCUAAAAAGACCAAAUAAUACAAUGUAUCUAUAAAAAUGUAAAAAUCACUCUAAAUUAAAAUAAACUAAUAUGAAACUAAAUACUACGAGUGGAACUAAUUUUUUUGUAUUUUCAAAUGUUAUAAUACUAUAAAUAUAAAUAUACUAAUUGACUUUAACCUAAAGAUGAAAAUAUUUAUUUUAUUUUUUUGUAAUUUUUAUUUUUUGUGAUAAACUAUAGUAAAAGAGUCAAAACUAUUUAAAAUAACGAUAUUAAACCUAAACUAAAUAUUUUACGCUAAAAAUGUGUAAAAUCUUGGGGAGGGUAAAAAAUCACAUGCCUACAGUUGCCCCUCUUUAACUGGAAACACGAAGAGUUUUCAGACAAAGAACGACGAGACAGGUAUUUUGACCUGACCCAUAUUUGGAGAGACCAAAAACUAAAAGAAAGGAGAAUGUAACCGAGCCCUGGUAUCUGAGCUGCCUACAUAUCCUUGGGUAUAAAGGAAUCAGGCCACGUGUAGUUCAGAAGUGAAUGAGGUGAUAGAGUACCAAGGUGGUGAGCCGAUUGAGGUGACGUUCCGUCGAGGUUCCUGUCCGCGGUCCUAUUAUUACAUCAAAAUCAAAAUAUGAAAUAGACUAACUAAACCUAUCAGCUAUGAGUUAGAAGAUUCCUAUCUAUGAGUCUUCUGAAGCUUGAUCUUGAGUCUUGGUUGGUUCUUCAUGCGGACUUUGAUCUGAAUCUUGAUGCUUGUUAGCUGCAGGUAUUGGUUCAACCUUCUUCAGCUUUUUUAGAUCAAGACGGGACAUGCAGAGCUUGUGACUUCAAUUAUGUCUUGAGCAGACCAUAUCUUUUCUCCACUUCUGCACUUUGGAUUCACUUUUUUUCUCUUUUAUUCUUGAUUGAGACUUCUUUUUUUUGUUAUCUCGGACCCAUGUCGACCCGCAUUUUUAGGCGAGCUUCUGCUACUUCUAACUUGAAUUGGAUUCUGAAAUGACUUCCCUCGUUCUCCAGGUGGGCGCCUGAUUGCUAAAACUUGAACUGACUUCCUUUGAAACUUGAACUGCUUUCCCUGAAACUUGAACUGUUCUCCCUUGAAACUUGAACUGUCUUCCUUCGAAAUUGCUUUUCCUUGAAAUUUGAACUGUUUUGCCUUAUUCUCUAGGUGAGCGCCUGAUACUACAGCAAAACAGACAACAAAAGAAACUUUUCUGCCCCAGUUUGCACUAGGAAUAUUUGUGAGUUGUUAGCAGAACUAUAGAUCACCUACGCUGCUGAUGAAGGAUGCAAUGAUGAAAGUAAAAUUAAUGACUCGACAAGGAUGUGUGUCUCCUAAAUGUGAUUGAACCUGUGGAAAACUAUAAACUAAGCUUGACUAAAGUAAAGACUGGCCCUAUUUUCUAGGCGGGGCCCCUGAUUUCAAGAAAACUAAACAUUGAUAACUUAAGAAAACUAAAAAUUGACCCUUUUUUUUGAAUUAUUCAAAUUCAGACUUCCCUUUUUUUGAAUUAUUAUCGUAGGAGAAAAUUCAUCGGACUAGGUUUUCUAUCUUAGGAGAAAUAUUCAUCAAACUAAGAUUUCUAUCCCAGGAGAAAGUUCAUCGGACUAGGUCUUCUAUCUUGGGAGAAAAAUUCAUCAAACUAAGAUUGCGAUCCCAGGAGAAGAUUCGUCAGACUAGAUUCCCUUUUUUGUUAUCUUAGGAGAAAGAUUCAUCAGACUAAGAUUUUUAUCCUAGGAGAAAAUUCAUCAGACUAGGUUUUCUAUCCUAGGAGAAAGAUUAUUAGACUAAGAUUUUGAUCCUAGGAGAAAGUUCAUCAGACUAAGAUUUUGAUCCUAGGAGAAAGUUCAUCAGACUAGGUCUUUUUUUUGUAUCUUAGGAGAAAAUUCGUUAGACUAAGAUUUUUAUCCUAUGAGAAAAUUCAUCAGACUAGGUUUUCUAUCUUAGGAGAAAGAUUCAUCAGACUAAAAUUUCGAUCCUAGGAGAAAAGUUCAUCAGACUAGGUCUUCUAUCGUAGGAGAAAAAUUCAUCAGACUAAGAUUGCGAUACUAGGAGAAGAUUCGUCAGACUAGGGUCCCUUUUUUGUUAUCUUAGGAGAAAGAUUUAUCAAACUAAGAUUUUUAUCCUAGGAGAAAAUUCAUCAAACUAGGUUUUCUAUCUUAGGAGAAAGAUUCAUCAGACUAGGAUAUUUAUUGGGAGAAAAAUCCAUCAGACUAGGACUUUUUAUCCUAGGAGGAAAAAAAUGUGAAGAUCAAUGGUAAGAUUUUAUGCACAAUAGCAAGACAAAUAAAGGCAAAGAUUUGAGAAAUUUCCCUUUGUCGGCUCUUCUCUUGAUUUCGUUUUUUGAUUUUUCAUCCUCUUUCCUUUUGGAAUCACUUUCUUUGCACUGCUUUGUUCCUAUUUCACACAGAAAAAUUUGUCAGUUUUGAAAAUGGUGGUCGGUUUGUGGCCUUGAGUCCUGGGCAGCUUGCCAUUUGCUUAAUCAGCUUGAGUCGGUUUCAAGAGACCUUUGCUCUACAUCAACCUUGAUUGUUUCGCUCCCAGUGCCAUUUGUAUUUGUAGCUCAAACAGCCUUAUCCCAACUUGAGAUCUUUGCUUAGAUGAUAUUUUCUGAUAUCUUGAAUGACUUCCUCUUUUUGAGAAAUUUGCUGUCAGAGAGGAUCACAAGUUAUCUUUGCUUGCGCCAAAUAGGGUGACAAGAGUCUUGGGGGGAGCUUUUGCAUGAAUCCUCAAGGCAUGUUGACUGUGACAACUGAGUGUGCUGGCCAAAUUUACUUUAUGUAACUGAAAAGCUAGCAGCAGAUUUUGAAAUCUCUUUUUGCUUGUUUUGACAAGGGGUGACUCUGAGUGAAGGACAGAAUGAUGCAAGGAGACAAUUAUUAACAAGAAAUGCCCCUCUCGGAAGGACAGAAUGAAGAUUUUUUUUUCUUUUCAUUUUUUUCGAAUAACUAGCCUUAAUGGUCAUGACAUGCAUUUUGGACUCAACGGCAUGAUCUAUCAAACUAAUCCAAUAUUCCCUUUUGCCAUUCUUAUGAGCUUUGAAUUUGGGCUUGUUCGUGCCAAUUCUUUGCAUCAGCUUCGUGACUCACUUUCGACUAGUGGUGCCCCCGAGGGGAUUUUCACCUACAAGUCUCUCUCAUUUAUUUAUCUCUACUUAUUGUCGCCUUACAGNNNNNNNNNNNNNNNNNNNNNNNNNGGAAGGUUUUUGGAUAAGGUUGGAAAGAAAGGACUGCAUGAAGGCUCAAAGUAGACUCGAACUGAGGGAUUGCAGACUUACAACUAUUGGAAUCGACUAUUUCAAAAGCGAAAUAAAAUCUUUACCCCAGUUUCAGAUACUGGGAAUUUUCUUGGAUUUUUCUAUUUUUUCUUUUUCUUUUUCGUCUAAACUCUUAUUUGGUUGGACCGAACCGUGAGGCUGUCUACGUAUUUUUUUUAAGGAAUCAGGUUGAACGUAGUUCAAACAUCUGACCUAACUAAUUUUUUCAUUUUUCUUUAUGUUUUUUCUUUUCUUUUUUUUUCUAUAUUUUUUUGUUUUCAAAAAAGUUGCUCCAGCUUCUAUUUUUUAGGACAUGGACCUUUGACAACUCUUUUCUUCUUCAUUUCUUUUCACAUGAACUUUCUAAGAAUUGCCCCGGUUUGUACUCUUAGGACAUGGACUUUUCUUUUUUUUCUUUUUUCUUUUUUUGACUCUUGACUAUAUACUUGAUUCUAAAAGAGGGUGGUCAAAGAAAAUAACACAGUCUCAAAAGGGGUAACAAAGAGUAUAAAGUAUUUGAAUAGCAGAAAAAGGGCCUCCCAGCCUCGAGAACGCCAAUUAUUGUAUCUUUUGACAAUCACAGCAUUGACAAACAUGUUUGUAUUCUUGGUUUGUCAUGGUCACAAGACACUUUCCAUCCCUUAAUGUCAAACUUUCGACCAAGCUUCAAUUGAUUCAAUAUCCUCAAGCCCGAUCUUCACAAUGAUUUGACGGUGAAUUUUACUCGACCUUAAUUCCAAAGUAUUUCAACUCUUUAUUCAUCCUCAAAAGUGUCUUGUUCUCAAUCAUCCAAUUCAAGCUUAAAUCAAUUUUCUAAAAUCUGGCCAAAAAGUCUGCAUGCAUGUCAUAUCACUAAAAUUAGCGGGAAAGAAACUAAGCACAGAAUGAUACGAAAGGACAAACUGUAUUUUAUUGAAUAAGGAUGGAAGGGUUUGACAACUAAACAAGCAACCUAAAAUCGAGUUACAACUCGAAAAUAACCCUGAUAAUUAAAAUAGCAACAAAACAGACAGACAUGACUCAUACAAACAGGAUAGAGAGAUAGAAGGGUUUGACUCAAUAAAACAAAUAAAAUCUAGAUCACAAUCCUGAAAUAAUCCAGAUAAUAGAAAAAACAUCAAAACAAGCUACCAAGAUUCCUCCCUAGUGAGGAGAGAAUGACUUUUCAACUUCUAAGCUUGACAUUUAGCCACAAAUUUGCUCAUCAGAAUCACCAUGGCCUUUUCCAAUUUCAGUCGGCAAAUUCCCGAAAGAAUUCUCAUACUCCAUGUCGCCACGCCUCACCCCUACAAAGUGUGCAUCAUCAUGUGCUGGUAAAGUACUCUGCGCGAUACUCUGGUUGUCACUGUCUUGGUUCACAAUCAGUUUUUCCUGGAUCAUCCUUUCUAUUUCUCUUUUCAAAUCCCGACAUCUUUUAACAUUGUGCCCCUAAGCAUUGGAAUGGUAUUCACACCUUUUAGAAGGGUCAAAGCUUCUUGCACGUUGGUUCACAUGAUUUGGAGGAACGGGUGCAAUCAUGUCAUAAUGCUUUAACUCCUCAGAUAAAGCUUGCAUAGGACUCUCCUAUUGGUGUAAAAUUAUCUUUCAACCUUUGUUCUCCUUUUUACCUUUGGCUUGGAUGUGGGUUAUAGGGUACCUGAAAAUUUUGUAGAGGCUGGUGGAGAUUUUGUGAUGCUUGUGACCGCCUACUAGGGUAUUUUGGUGGCUGGACAAUAUACUGAGGUAGAGCGAUAGAGUAUUGUGGGUUCUGAGGGGGAUAGUAAUGCUCAAGGGAGUUAUCGAAAAAUAGAUGAGGCUGGUCAUACCUUCGAGAUGCUCUCCUAGGACCUCUUCUCGACCCUGAUGUCAUCAUGAUUUCUUCGUCCUUCUCAUUUGUGUCACUAAAAUUAUCAUAUUCAAUUUGGUCAUCCUGAGUUGCGGCUUUGAUAAGUGCUUGACUUAUAAUUCCACCUAUCUUAAGACCAUUCUCAACCAUUUUCCCCAUUUUGAUUGCCUCCGAGAAGGAUUUACCCACUGCGGAUAUCAUGUUUUGAAAAUAAUCUGGCUCUUGAGCCUGAAGAAAAACAGUGAUUAGCUCAUGGUCAUCCAUGGGUGGCUUAACUCUAGCUGCUUGCUCUCUCCAUUUAAUGGCAUAUUCCCUGAAACAUUCAGUUGGUUUCUUCUUCAGGUUUGAAAGGGAAUUGCAGUUUGGGGCGAUGUUGAUGUUGUAUUGGAACUGUUUGACAAAUGCCUGUGCCAUGUCAUCCCAGACAUACCAGCAAGAUGUGUCUUGAUCCAUAAACCAUUCGGAUGCUACUCCCGUAAGGCUUUCUUCAAAAUAAGCUAUUAGCAAUUAUUCAUUUUUUCCUACACCCCUUAGUUGAUUGCAAUACCUUUUUAGGUGGGCUGUGGGGUCUCCAUGUCCAUCAUACUUUUCAAAUUUAGGAGUCUUGAAACUAUGCGGUAAAUGGACAUCGGGGAACAUACAUAGAUCCUUGAAGGCAAUACUCUUCUAACCUGCCAAACCUUGCAUGUUUUUCAAUCAUUGUUAUAAGCUUUUCACUCUUUGGGUCAUUUCUUCAUGUGCCAUCUUUCGGGCAGGCUUCUCAAUGUUUGCAGGAAGAUCAAACAAGUACGAGUGGUACUCAGGAGAGUGGUACUGCUUUUGUUGGGUAGCAAAUUGUGACUCAUGACAAGGCUGUCCUUGGCUAUUGCCCCAUGCUUAACACAUUUUGGCCAUUUGCUGUUUCAGUAUUCUAUUUUCCUCAAACACAGUAGACUCUUGUCGAACCCUCUGACCCUGAGUCUCUUGAGCACUUGUAACAGCUUCGAUGUCAGUUAUCAUUUUUCUUUGGAUCUUGUGUUGUCCGCUUACCACAAACCGACCACCUCAACUUUCUUUACAAUUCAAAACAAGACAUGUUAGAAUGGACUCAGUCAGUCCUUAUUAUUAUCAUCAUUUUUUCACUUUUUUCAUAUUUUUUCAUUUUUUUUCUUUUCUUUUCAAUGGUUGAUAGAACCUGAUGUGGGUUGCCUACGUAUCAUGUGGGAACAUGAAUCAGAUCUUGUGUAGUUCGGGAAGAUCAGAAAUAACGUAAAUAAACUAACUCUUUUUUUUUAAUUUUGGAACUUUUUAAUUUCCGCAAGAAAGACUUAUAAAGAAAAAACAAAAUAUUUUUUGAUUUCAAUUUUUUUUUGGGACUUUCGAAAGAAAUACUUCUAAAGAAGAAAUAAUUUCUUUUUGAAUUUCGACUUCUUUUUUUUGUUGGAAUUUUGAAUGAAAAAUUUUCUAAAGAAGAAAGGAAAUAUUUUUUAGAUUUUUUGACUCAUAUUUGAAUUUAUGAAAGAAAUGAUUCUAAAGAAAAAAGAAAAUAUUUUUGAAUUUUCUUUUUAAUUUUCGAAAGGAAAACUUUUGAAGAAGAAUGAAAAUAUUUCUGGAUUUUUAGAAGAAAUUAAAAGAAAAUAUUUUUGGAUUUUUUUUAAAAAAAUUGGGGUCUCAAAGAAAGAUUUUUCUAAAGAAGGAAGUAAAGGAAAAUAUUCUUGGAUUUUUUGAAAAUUGGGGCCGAAAUCGAUGAGGUUUGCCUACGUAUCUCACAUCCGGUGAGAAUCAGACCCGCGUAGUUCGCCCAGUUUUGACGGAACAGAAAUUGACUUAUUUUGAAAUGACUUUUCCUCUUUUUCUCAAAAUUUUGGUAGAGUUUCAGGAUAAUUCAAAUACCUACUUCUCACUCUCUUUUCUUUUUCUUUUUCUUUUUUUUUCUGUUUUUAUUUUUUUGGAUUUUCUCCUUUUUUUUCAUUUUCUUUCCCUAUUCUAGGAGCCAGUCAACAUGCAAGCCGAAACAGACAGAUACACAAAUAUCACGUAAGAUGCAUCAGGAUGGUCUUUUAAUUUGGGUACACCUGUCCUAGAUGUACCCAACCCCUAUGUGGAGUCCCCAAAGUCAAAUGCACAUAAUGCAAACAAGCGUUCCUACUAGGGAUCUGGCAUGAGGCUAUGUUAUUCUAGGUUUAAAACCUGGGUGUAUUGUUCUAGACCUGGCUUACCCGAGCGGACAGCUCGAGCCGGGGGGGGGGGAGGGCGAGCGUACCGGGAANNNNNNNNNNNNNNNNNNNNNNNNNCAGAAAAGAAGUCACACGAAGUGCACACUUCCCAGAUGAUUUAGAAGACUCAGAGAGAAGAAGGGUUUCAAAACAAUUUAUAUCCAGGUCAAGCAAAAUCAAAGCGAUAAAAAUCGGCAUUUAACACAUUAGGCUCAAACAUGUAAAAAUCAGAUAACAAAUAAAAUCCAAUCGUAACAGCUAUUCUAAGCUCGAAUUCUGAAACCUGAACCAGAGAUUCUGGGUUCUUUUCCCCAGCAGAGUCGCCAGAACUAUCACACCUCCUUUUUACCACCCGAGGGCGGAUAUAAGGGAGUUUUUCUAAUUUAAGUGACAUUAUUCGAUAUGAGAUUAUUUAAUUUAAUUUUUUGAGAGUCACCACUUGGGAUAUUUAUUAUGGUGUCCCAAGUCACUGGUUUAUUUUAAAUCCAAAAUCUAGAAAAUUUCGACUUUAUUUAAAAGUCCGCGAAACCAGAAAUUCUAGAUAAGGAAUUUUGUUAACCCGGGAGAAGGUGUUAGGCAUUUUCGGGUUUCGCGGUUCGAGCAUGGUCGCUUAAACUAUUAAUAAUUGGCCUAUUAUCUGAUUUACUUUAUAUUUUAAUUCUAUUGUGCAUUUUUAGCUUUAUAACCGCUUUAUAAUUAUUUUAACUACUUUUAGGAUUUAUGGAAUUAUUUCUUGAACAGGUUACGAUUGUCGUAUACUUGCCGUUUUGGAACACACCGCAAACCACGCUACAUGAAAUGCACCCACGAUUUGCAACAUGUUUAUUUUAAUUAUUGUUCGUAGUUGUAGUCGGGUCACUUGAAAUGCACACCCGAAUUGGGAUUUAUGUAUCGUGACCAUGCCGCGGGAACCGUACCCAUAGUGAUGAUGAUUUAUUAAUCGCUCCUAAAGCUAACUACGAUAUUUGAUUUGUUUCCUAAUCUAAUUUAAGAUUAUUGUAAGGCCAUAAGCUAUGGAAUUUAUUGUGGAAGGAAUAAAUUAAAUUAUUUAUGGAAAGAUGUCCGAGCUUAUAGCCUUAUUGGCAAUUUUGGCCAUGUAUUCAAACUAGAAACUAUAGUAGUACCUCAUUCACCAAUUAAACUCCAAACCCAUAUUUUGCGCAUCAAAGAUUAUUCCAAAAAAAGGUACUAACAAAGAUAGUGAAAAAAGGAGAAUAAAGCAAAUAAAACCCACAUCUUAACCCAAAGGAAUUAUCAGCAGAUUCCAAAGCAUACCAAAACCAUGCUUAUUGAUUUAUCUUUAUAAAUAAAAAAACUAAAAGAAACACCCAGCUAGAUUAAAGUAUUCAUCAAAGAAAGACAAAGUGAAGUAAUAAAUUAGUCAUGGAUCAACCUUAAGUAAAGAGGCUAAAAUAAAAUAACAAUAAUAAAGCAUAGGAUAGAUUGGAUCCCGAAGAGUAGCAACAAGAAACAGACCUUUUUAAAAAGCAACAAAAGUCUGGAAAUAAGACCAGUAACACGUUAACCAUACUAAACAGGAACCUUGCCGGAACUUUAGACGGAGCUCUCAAAUGGAAGUUCGACUAUCUCGAUCUAUCUUCCGUGACAUUACAGGGCUGAAACGGAGCUUCGUCGGUGAAAACAAAUGGAGAAAUUGAUGACUGUUCGGGUCUUUUUUUAAAGCUGGUUUAAUGGAAUUUCAAAUGGGUUUAAGGUUAUAUAUGUGAAGUGAUAUGGGUUGAAGACUCUUUCAUUUCUUUUUAUUUUUCCACCCCCAAUUUUUGUGCAAAGAAUUCCUUGCAUGUUCUCUGUGUGUGUGUGUUUGGAGUUGGUGAAAUUAGACCUUGAAGGUCUUUGAUUUGGGGGAAGUUGGGAGACCGCAGUCUUCGAGAUUAGAAGUGCUGGCGUUCUUUUUUUUAGUCUUAGGUCUUGAAAACAUGGGUAGUAUUUUUAUAAUUGAGUAUUUUAUAUGGAGGUGGGAAGGUAU